GACGAACGCUGGCGGCGUGCUUAACACAUGCAAGUCGAACGGAAAGGCUCCAGCUUGCUGGAGUACUCGAGUGGCGAACGGGUGAGUAACACGUGGGUAAUCUGCCCUGCACUCUGGGAUAAGCCUGGGAAACUGGGUCUAAUACUGGAUAUGACCUUUCUCCUUAUGGGGUUUGGUGGAAAGUUUUUCGGUGUAGGAUGAGCCCGCGGCCUAUCAGCUUGUUGGUGGGGUGAUGGCCUACCAAGGCGACGACGGGUAGCCGGCCUGAGAGGGUGAUCGGCCACAUGGGGACUGAGAUACGGACCAGACUCCUACGGGAGGCAGCAGUGGGGAAUAUUGCACAAUGGGCGGAAGCCGGAUGCAGCGACGCCGCGUGAGGGAUGACGGCCUUCGGGUUGUAAACCUCUUUCAGCAGGGACGAAGCGUAAGUGACGGUACCUGCAGAAGAAGCACCGGCUAACUACGUG
rnacentral:rRNA from 1 species